GCUGUCGCGCAAUAGCGCGGUGGAGGAAAGUCCGGGCUCCAUAGGGCAGAGUGCCAGGUAACGCCUGGGAGGCGCGAGCCUACGGAAAGUGCCACAGAAAAUAACCGCCUAAGCGCAACAGCGCCGGUAAGGGUGAAAAGGUGCGGUAAGAGCGCACCGCACGGCUGGCAACAGUGCGUGGCUAGGUAAACCCCACUCGGAGCAAGACCAAAUAGGAAU
rnacentral:RNase_P_RNA from 1 species